GCGGGAGUAGCUCAAUUGGUAGAGCAUCGGCCUUCCAAGCCGAAGGUUGCGAGUUCGAGGCUCGUCUCCCGCUCCA
rnacentral:tRNA from 1 species